ensembl:snoRNA LOC120094468 small nucleolar RNA SNORA61
ACCCACCGAUUCCCCUUCCCAUGGGAUCUCCACGCUGGUCUUGGUCGUUGUAAAAAAGGAAGAGUACACUGAAGCUGGCCUUGCAGCAAUGCAGUCUGGUGUAGAGCAGCAGGCCAGAUUCAAAAACUC